rnacentral:rRNA from 1 species
UACGGGGGGUGCGAGCGUUGUCCGGAAUCAUUGGGCGUAAAGCGCACGUAGGCGGUGGGGUAAGUCUUGUGGUGAAAGGCCGGGGCUCAACCCCGGGCAGGCCCGAGAGACUGCCCUGCUGGAGACAGGCAGAGGCCAGCGGAAUUCCGGGUGUAGCGGUGGAAUGCGUAGAGAUCCGGAAGAACACCGGAGGCGAAGGCGGCUGGCUGGGCCUGAUCUGACGCUGAGGUGCGAAAGCGUGGGGAGCGAACAGG